CUGGGGCUCUUAAAGGAGCGGUGAAGAAUAAAUGUGUUUAUUAGCAUAAACUACAGAAAUCUAACCUAAAUAGGAACAUAAAUCAGGAAUAAAACUGGCCCUAAACUGGAGCCCUGAGGAUCCCCACAUGCUAACAGUAGCAUCGUGUAUAAAGCCCCAUUCGGACUGGGAGAGUUUUACAUGAGGAGACGUGAAAUGGAAUUAUUCCCAGAGUAUUUUUUUACGGAUUGCACGUGCACACGUGUGGAAAGAUUACGCCGUAUUUUAGCUUUAAAAAAAUGAGCAGUAGAAAUAAGGUAAUGUGCAUCCUGUCUGAACUGACAUGUUACGUUAUAUCCUGUGGGAAAACAGGUUUCGUGCUUUUUCUUCAGUACAAAAACACUCCAGGAAGCGCUCGCUCUUUUAUAUCGAAAUAAAAACAAAACCGGGUCUGGGUUUAAAGCUCAGAACAAUUAAAAAAAAAAGUCGAAAAGCCUCGGACAAGUGACACUGCCGGGGGUUUCGGGUAAGUAACCGAGUUCCUAGCACAUGUAAAACUAUAUACGUACAUGUUGUGGUCAUGUGACCUACUAAUGAUCACACACAGCCACGCCCCCCUACAAACAAUCUGUGCGUAGUAGACGUGAACAUGGUGAAGACACGCCCAUUUCUGUGAUGUAUACACAGAUCACUUAUCACGUGUCAAUCGAUCAGAAUUCCUACACACGUCCUCGCACGCAUCCAGAAAACUAAUCCCAUACGAAUAGUACACUAUUAGUGCUGUAAAAGCAACACACACACACACACACACACACGGGGUUAAAUGGGUUUAUGAGACUACAUACUGCACGCUACGUGCCUUUCCUUUUUUUUCCCCCCCAAAUUAGGCAACACCUGAUUUUCCUCCGCAGCUCUGCAUCUGAGAAAGUGAGCGCAUUCCUGAAGCGGCGAGUUCAGACAAGCUCGCAGCCACAAGUCAGAGAAGAAAAGAGAGGAAGAGAAGGGUGGAGAGCAGAUAAAGGCACUCAAGAGCUGAACUUCCUCCUAAAUUUUUCCACAACAUGCAUAAAUCUUACAAACUCUAUUAGCAAUACUCAACACCGACUCCUUCUCGACAACAGUGUGCUGAGAUUUAAAAAAAAUAGUAAUAUAUAAAAUGAAAAUGUGAAAGGGUGAAAUGCAGAAACACAAAAAAUGUAGGUUUAAUUAGCAUGGAGAUUGUUUGAUUCGUUUUUUAAAAUACCACGACAGAAUCCACAGUGUGUUGAGAUUAAAAAAGGUUUCCGUGGUUAAUUAUUAAAAACAAAAUGAAAAUGUGAAAUGGCAAAAUGUGCAGAAACACAAAAAAAAUGGUUUUUGGUUAGUUUUAAAAUCACUACAACACAGAAUCCACUUUCACAAGACUAACCUCUUGUUAUUCGCUAUUUAUUUUAUUUGAUCAGAUAUGCAUACAGUGAUAAACUGUUCGUUUUGACACGUAACCGUCUGCAGGCGACGAGUCGAUUCACGUCAAAUAGCUACGUUAUCUGUAACACAGAGCUAGCGGUUAUACGUGUUUCCCUGAUGCUAAUAUCAUACACUAACUGCUAAUUAGCUUAUCAGCUAGCAGGCUGUUAGCUAAACAUGAACAGACGAUUUAGUGUUCAGGUUGCGUUUUAGAUUUUUAGCUUUAAUAUCACUAUGAGAGAAGCUGCUUCUCACUGGUUCUACUGUAGAAGCCUGUAACAGAAGGUUUCUCUUUUCAACCAAGUUCCAAAAAGAACCGUGAACCAUCUUGUGCUCGAAAGAAGAUUUUCUUUUUUUGUUUUUCUUUUGUUGUUUUUUAAUUUUAUACAUCUUUAUGCACUUGUAGCUGUUGUCAAAGUGACAAUUGCACACGUUUUUAUUACUAUUGUUCCAAAAAAAAAGAAAAGAAAAGAAAAGAAAAGAAUCAUGGAAGUGUCCUGAUACGUGACCUGAAAUCUUACUUCAGCAUAAAUUCCAGAGCGCAACACACACACACACACACACACACACACACACACACACACACACACACACACACACACACACACACACACACACACACACACACACACACCGCCCACCUGAGAGGGUGUGGAGCCUAUGUGCUGUUCAAAAGGGGGCGGGGUUUAUGGAGAAUGCUGCUAGGUGAUUGGUGGACGGAGUCAGCUAAAUGGUGUGUACCUGAGACAGGUAAGGAGAUGCGGCGCGCUUCAGGUCAGCUGUGAACACAUCUCUGGAUUUCUCUUACUGUUUUUUUUUUUUAUUUCUUUAUUUCUUUCUUUCUCUUUCUUCACUAACAGAUUGCAGACUUCCUCUCGUCUUCUCAUCCCCUCUUCCCCUUUUUGCUUUUUUGGAUUGUGUAAUUUCUGGCAGAUGAAACUACGCCGUCGCUCUGCAAGCUUUCUGCCGUUGUUUAUUGGUUUGUUUGUCGUUGUUGUUUGUUGUGUUUUAAACCUGUUGUUGUGUUUGCAGGAGUGAAGACGAUGGAUCAGGUGAGGAAGAAGAAAAAAAAAAAGACAAAAUAAUAAAGAAGGAAACUUUCAGACCUUCAGAGUUUCACAAACGCCCUUCAACUGGAAGGACGUAUCCCAGACUCGCUGUGCAUCCACUCAUCCAUGCUUCCUAUCCUUCAUUCCACCGGAGUCUGUGUGUCUGAGCAAUCAGAUUUCAGUGGUGUGAAGAAUACGAGACAUGGGCCUGCCCUCGUCAUCAUCAUCAUCAUCAUCAUCAUCGUCAUCAUCGUCAUCGUCACUCAUUUGUCAGAUUAACUUGUUAAACAUGUAAAUGUGGUUCAUGGAUUAUGUUUUGUAAUGUAAUAUAGCGAUCAGUUACUGAUUAAAGAGUAAAUAAGUGA